UCUUGCAGUUGAAAUGCCACAAUAUCAGCCCAAGACCAAGAACUGAUUGCCCUGACACCGUCGCCGCGAUCAACAGUGUUUAAGAAAGGCCAAUCAGCACUACUAUGUUUUGAUGGGAGAAGACUGUAACAUGUUGAAGUGCACAAUGAAAAAGAUGACCAUCCUUCUGACUAUCCUGAUUACUAAUGAUCUCAAUCAGAAGUUACAUAUUAAAACAAGCAUACAGUGAUCCUUUCUAUGAACUUAUAGAGCAUUACUUUUUU
rnacentral:lncRNA from 1 species